rnacentral:rRNA from 1 species
AAUGAACGUUGGCAGCGUGGAUUAGGCAUGCAAGUCGAGCGACAAGGUCCUGGACGUGGAGGAGCGGCAAACGGGGUAGGUAAUACAUCGGAACGUACCCUCACGUCUGGGAUAGCCACGGGAAACUGUGGGUAAUACUGGAUAAUCUCACCGCUUGUGAAGAGUGGUGAGCAAAGGUCCGCCGCGUGAGGAGCGGCCGAUGCGAUACUAGAUAGUUGGUGGGGUAAUGGCCUACCAAGUCUAAGAUGUCUAGGGGGUGUGAGAGCAUGGCCCCCACCACUGGGACUGAGACACUGCCCAGACACCUACGGGUGGCUGCAGUCGAGAAUCUUUGGCAAUGGGCGCAAG